rnacentral:lncRNA from 1 species
AGGAGUAUGGAGACACUGGUAUGGCAUACAGGUGAGAUGUAAGGCUACAUCAUCAUUGAACUGACCAACUCUAGAGCAUUCUGCUGUCGAGAAUAUCUCUGAUGGGAUAUAGGUAUAAGUGUCCCUUAGACCUGAGAUCACCUCAGUGACUUGCAAGCAACUCACUGUGCUUUGAUACUGGACUAACUGAAUUUUUAUUCAGUGACGGAAGGCUUCUGGGCAUAGUCAAGUACUUACGAAGUCAGAGUGUGAUCGAGAUGG